rnacentral:tRNA from 1 species
CGCGGGGUGGAGCAGCCUGGUAGCUCGUCGGGCUCAUAACCCGAAGGUCGUCGGUUCAAAUCCGGCCCCCGCGG